GUUUGAUCAUGGCUCAGAANCGAACGCUGGCGGCGUGCUUNACACAUGCAAGUCGAACGNGAAGUACGUAGCANUACGUAUUGUAAAGUGGCGCACGGGUGAGUAACACGUGGGUAAUCUGCCCUUGAGUUUGGGAUAACCCCGCGAAAGCGGGGCUAAUACCGAAUAAGACCACGGGGACCAACGUCCCUGAGGUAAAAGAUGGCCUCUAUUUAUAAGCUAUCACUUGAGGAUGAGCCCGCGGCCCAUUAGCUAGUUGGUAGGGUAAUNAACCUACCAAGGCUAUGAUGGGUAGCUGGUCUGAGAGGACGAUCAGCCACACUGGAACUGAGACACGGUCCAGACUCCUACGGGAGGCAGCAGUGGGGAAUAUUGCGCAAUGGGCGAAAGCCUGACGCAGCAACGCCGCGUGGGGGAUGAAGGUUUUCGGAUUGUAAACCCCUUUCGACCGGAACGAAUCUCCUCUUGGUAAAUAAUCAGGAGGAUCGACGGUCCCGGGAGAAGAAGCCACGGCUAACUCUGUGCCAGCAGCCGCGGUAAGACAGAGGUGGCGAGCGUUGUUCGGAUUUGUUGGGCGUAAAGCGAACGCAGGGUGGUUUGGUACCUCAAAGGGGAAAGCCCACAGCUUAACCUGUGGCACUGCCUUUGAUACUGCCUUUCUUGAGUCCUGAGGGAGUAC
rnacentral:rRNA from 1 species